rnacentral:rRNA from 1 species
UACGAAGGGGGCUAGCGUUGCUCGGAAUCACUGGGCGUAAAGGGUGCGUAGGCGGGUCUUUAAGUCCGGGGUGAAAUCCUGGAGCUCAACUCCAGAACUGCCUUUGAUACUGAGGAUCUUGAGUUCGGGAGAGGUGAGUGGAACUGCGAGUGUAGAGGUGAAAUUCGUAGAUAUUCGCAAGAACACCAGUGGCGAAGGCGACUUACUGGACACAUAUUGACGCUGAGGUGCGAAAGCGUGGGGAGCAAACAGG